AAAACUUUUUGGGAAGUCCAUCUUGAAUUCUCAUGCUUGUAGUAAUUUUAUUUACUUGUCGUACCUCCCGUUAAAUAAAGUACCCUAGUGAUUUUAUGCGGUGGAAUUUUUUCCUGAAAGCCAGUCGAACAUGUUGACCAGAUGCUGCAAAUCCCAUCUCACUUCACUCAUCUUCAGAUGGAUCUGAGGAACCUGUCUCUGAGUUCUUGUUUGAGAAGUUUUUACACUGUAACUUGCAAAACCAUACAAAUCCAACAACUACUGCCACUAGUGCAAGCACCCCCGCAGCACCUCCAACUAUAGCUCCAUACGGCUUCAACAUCAGGUACCUCAGGCAGAAUGGUAGUAGCAAGAGCCUGGAUGGGCAUUUGACUACAGCAAGUAUUUCUAUCAGGUAAAAGAGAGCAUUACAUAUGCACAAUUUCAUGAAGAUGUCUUUGUGGAUGCAUAUAGACCACUCUGGAAUCUCCCUACCAAAAAAUCAAUGCCCAUGUGAGCUGUUGUUACCAACUGUAAAUGAGCGGAUUUUACUAUGUGGGUGUGGACAGGAGUGAAAGUGACCAUAAUUGGACUAGUACUGGAAGACAUCAUUAUUGAAGGGGAUCAAAAGAAAAGGUAGUGAUCCGGCUAUCAAUUCCAAGUCUCUUCCCUCAAUUCACCUAUCUUCCUUUUUGCCUCUUUUUUGUCAUCUGAUCUGGAAAGAAGAGAGUGAGUUCCCAUUCUUGUAUAUAGAGAUGGGACUCUUCCUCAUAUGGGGUCAUGACAGCUGAACCAAUGAGACAUUGCCUCAGCCCGUCCAGCAGGUGCCCAGUUUCCCUGGUUUAUAUGUUCUUAGUUUUCUUGCAAGAAAGAUAAGUUUAUCUGUUUUGGCAAAAUGGGCAUUUGUAUUUUCCUCUCUUCUUGCUUUCUUUUUGUAGGUAUGCAACUGGUUGGGCUCUGAUAGGGAAGAGAUGGGUAAUGCUCUUGAGCUGUAAGUAUCUCCCUCCCUCUCUCUCUCUCAUAUUUAUUUACCUUGCAUGUUUUCCUGAGUUUGUUCUGUACUGUCUUGUGCUGUAAAGCACAAGGGGAUUGGUGGAAAGAAGCUUGUCAUCUUGUGCAGUUCUGAAUGCUGGAUACAAGAGGCCCAUUUCACAGAGAGAGAUAGAGGUUUUGUUGGGAAAUGUGGACUUCUAACAGCAUGUUGUUAGGAUCUGCUCUCUUUGACUGUCUCAGCAAGUGGUUGAUCUUUAAGCUUCCCCCUUCCUUUUAUUGCUCUUUAUUUUUUUCCUUUGGCUGUCUUGAGCUACAACCUUCCUCUGCCACAGCCACAAAAGCAUAAACACCACCACAUUCGUGGUUUGGCCUCACUGCAUUAAACCCCUGUCCCAACCCCACACUGAAACAAUUCCCCACCUUCUUCCUCCUACCUCUUGAUAAUGUUGUGCAAAGCCCUCUACCGACACAAUCUUGAUCUUCCUCAAGUCAAAUACCGGGUAUGACACUAACCCUGAUUGCACAUGUUGGAUCAAAAUUUAAUUGUGAUAAGGCAGUUUGCAUUUGGCCUUAUUAGGCUAGGUUGACCAUACAUGAUGAACAGUUCGAGGCAAUGCAAACUAUUAGUAUCCUUUUCUGCCAUCUUCCUACUGGCUCUUGGAAAUGGCUGCGGGGCAGCAGAUCAGAUGCCAUCCACACUUGCUACACAUGAUGGUGAUACAAAAGGAAUCAAAGAAAGUUGAUCUGGCUUUUCUUACUAUGAUAAGUCUGCAAAAAAAAUGAUGUUUCUGGCCCCAUUCAAUCUUUCAUUUGUUGUUCUGUGAUUAUUACUUGUCAAAGAAAUGGUUUUCCAGACCUUGAAACUUCAGAAGUAGCAUGAUUUUUUUGACCAACUCUGGUUGCCUGCCUGUAAUUAACAUCAAAAUUUAUGAUAUUUCAUUCUCUGGUUUAUAGUGGUA